rnacentral:rRNA from 1 species
GGCGAACGGGUGAGUAACACGUGAGUAACCUGCCCUUGACUUUGGGAUAACUUCAGGAAACUGGGGCUAAUACCGGAUAGGAGCUCAUGCUGCAUGGUGGGGGUUGGAAAGUUUCGGCGGUUGGGGAUGGACUCGCGGCUUAUCAGCUUGUUGGUGGGGUAGUGGCUUACCAAGGCUUUGACGGGUAGCCGGCCUGAGAGGGUGACCGGCCACAUUGGGACUGAGAUACGGCCCAG